GCUGGGCGUGGUGGCGUGUGCCUGUAGUCCCAGCUACUCGGGAGGCUGAGGCAGGAGAAUUGCUUGAACCCAGGAGUCGGAGGUUGCAGUGAGCUGAGAUUGCACCACUGCACUCCAGCCUGGGUGACAGAGCAAGAAUCUGUCUCAA
rnacentral:SRP_RNA from 1 species